rnacentral:rRNA from 1 species
GACGAACGCUGGCGGCGUGCUUAACACAUGCAAGUCGAACGGAAAGGCCCUGCUUUUGUGGGGUGCUCGAGUGGCGAACGGGUGAGUAACACGUGAGUAACCUGCCCUUGACUUUGGGAUAACUUCAGGAAACUGGGGCUAAUACCGGAUAGUAGCUCCUGCUGCAUGGUGGGGGUUGGAAAGUUUCGGCGGUUGGGGAUGGACUCGCGGCUUAUCAGCUUGUUGGUGGGGUAGUGGCUUACCAAGGCUUUGACGGGUAGCCGGCCUGAGAGGGUGACCGGCCACAUUGGGACUGAGAUACGGCCCAGACUCCUACGGGAGGCAGCAGUGGGGAAUAUUGCACAAUGGGCGGAAGCCUGAUGCAGCAACGCCGCGUGCGGGAUGACGGCCUUCGGGUGGUAAACCGCUUUCGCCUGUGACGAAGCGUGAGUGACGGUAAUGGGUAAAGAAGCACCGGCUAACUACGUG